AGGCCAACUUCAACAGAAAAAAAUUGGAAGAAACUAAAGAAACAUCACCAGAUACAUUAGCAAUUGAUGAUUUUGAUGAUGAUCAGUGGGGCAAAUGGGGUGAUGAAGAAGAAGAAGAAGAAGAUGAUGAUGAUAAGAAUAGAAAGGAAAAACGAUAUGGUGACAUGCAGCUGAGGCUGGAGUUGCGUGAUAGGGUGGAUAGCCUUUUCAAAUAUCUUCAUAAGUUAUCUUCUCUGAAGAGGAGGAACGCACCAUUGAGAGAAGGGACAUUCUAUUUGGAAAGCAACUUAGGUGGUGAUCCUGACUCAAAUAAGGGUUUACUCUAUAAGAUUCUAAGAAGCGUGUUGAGCAAAAAUGAUGUACCUGGGUUGGAGUACCAUUCCUCUACUGUGGGGCGACUUUUUAAAAGUGGCUUUGGAAGAUUUGGUCUUGGACAGGCAAAACCAAGUCUUGCGGACCAAAAUGUCAUAUUGGUUUUUAUCGUUGGAGGCAUCAAUGGCACUGAGGUACGCGAAGCUUGGGAAGCAAUAUCUGAAAGCGGAAGGCCAGACUUAGAAUUGAUCGUUGGCGGAACAACACUUCUAACUCCUGACAAUAUGUUUGAUUUACUAAUGGGAAAAUAU
rnacentral:misc_RNA from 1 species